UACAGAAACAGAAUGUAUGAUGAAAAGUCUAGGGCUAUGCAGAAGAUAAGAUUAAUCUUUUUACAUUUUAUCAGAAGGCAAGGGAUAAUAUCACUUUAGUGUCAGAGCAUGAUCAUUCAUAUUCUAAUGCAGUGUACAGUAAUGGUAACUUGGAGAUGAAAUAAAGAGUAUAUGCUUAAAAGUUUUUCCUGCUAAUGGAGAUCGGUGAGUGGUAUAUUUAAA
rnacentral:misc_RNA from 1 species